CUCCGGUGAUCCUGCCGGACCUGACUGCUAUCGGAUUGGUACUAAGCCAUGCGAGUCAUUGUAGCAAUACAAGGCGGACGGCUCAGUAACACGUAGUCAACCUAACUCGUGGACGUGGAUAACCUCGGGAAACUGAGAAUAAACCACGAUAGACCAUAGUGCCUGGAAUGGCUUAUGGUCCAAACAGUUUACUGCCAUGGGAUGGGACUGCGGCCUAUCAGCUUGUUGGUGAGGUAAUGGCCCACCAAGGCGAUUACAGGUACGGGCUCUGAGAGGAGAAGCCCGGAGAUGGGUACUGAGACACGGACCCAGGCCCUAUGGGGCGCAGCAGGCGAGAAACCUUAGCAAUGUGCGAAAGCACGACUGGGUCAGUCCAAGUGAUUCCUGAUAAAGGAGUCUUUUGCUUGUCCUAAAAGCACAGGUGAAUAAGGGGUGGGCAAGUCUGGUGUCAGCCGCCGCGGUAAUACCAGCACCUCGAGUGGUCAGGACGUUUAUUGGGCCUAAAGCAUCCGUAGCCGGCUUUGCAAGUCUUCGGUUAAAUCCACCUGCUCAACAGAUGGGCUGCUGGAGAUACUACAAAGCUAGGGAGUGGGAGAGGCAGACGGUAUUCAGUGGGUAGGGGUAAAAUCCUCUGAUCCAUUGAGGACCACCAGUGGCGAAGGCGGUCUGCCAGAACACGUUCGACGGUGAGGGAUGAAAGCUGGGGGAGCAAACCGGAUUAGAUACCCGGGUAGUCCCAGCUGUAAACGAUGCAAACUCGGUGAUGCAUUGGCUUAUGGCCAAUGCAGUGCCGCAGGGAAGCCGUUAAGUUUGCCGCCUGGGAAGUACGGACGCAAGUCUGAAACUUAAAGGAAUUGGCGGGGGAGCA
rnacentral:rRNA from 1 species